GGACUUGUGGGGCCAAAACAUUAAAUGUAUUGGCUAAGAUUUCUGAUUUUUCUUGUCUCCUCUUAGCUGGCUUCUCACGCUCGGCACUCCUAUCCGCUCAUUUUUCCUGCUUUUGUCUUAAUAUCUCUAUCGUGCGAGACAAUCCAUCCAAUCUCUCUCCAUCUUCAUUUCUUCUCUUCCUCAAACGAAGUCCACACACUCUGCUCACGCCAACCUUGAGAUCUUCAAUCAAGCUACUUCUCUCCACUAGUUGCUGUCCCCCGCCAGUCAACUCUCCUCACUGAAGACUGAUCGAAGCCCCGUCUACGAUUUGCUUCUCUCUCGCGCUGCCACCGAAUCCCAAAGUCCAACAUCUUCGUUCAUGCCUUGCCAACAGCCACGAAGACCUGCAGCCACGCCAACCAGCUACUUCCUCGUCCACGAAGACUCCACCGUUUGUUGCAGCUCCAGCUUUCCUCCACUUUGUUGCCACGAAGACUUCCACUACCGCAACCUUGGUCAGCUUCAUCAAGUUGUUGACCCUUGAAGCCACGAUCCACCGAGAAGCCAACAAAUUGAACCGCCAGCAGUUGCAACUCCUUUCAUCCGCGCGUCCCUCAGCCUCCGCGCAUCCGACUUGCUCCGUGGGUCAAACUCCAGCAACAAGCUUCGGUUUGUUGACCGAAGACCCCACGACGCCAACGAAGAAGCCCAGCAACCUUCUUCUUCAGCCACGCGGCCAAGCUGCAGCUUCCACGGUCAACUCCAGCAAGAACCGUCCCACUUUGUUGAUCUCGUGAAGCUGCCACGUCGGUGCUAAUGCACUCCAUGAAGACCCCAAGCUGCUCCCUCGUUCGCGCCUUCUGCCCACGAAGACCCAAGUUCCACGCAGCUUCAAUUUUCGUGAAACCUUGCUGACCGAAGACCAAGGCCAGCGAAGCAGCGUCCACGAGCAGCUUCCGUCUUCAGUCUUCUCCAGCGGCAUGCCCUCAGCCUUCACGAAAUUGUCGAGGCCCAUCUCUGCCUUGUGCGGCCCGUCUUCAUCAGCCCAGCAGCUCAUUUGAAGCCACCGAACAGCCCAGCUCAGCAGCCCAUGUGAUCUUCAGUCCAACAAACUAGCUGAAGACAAGCCCUGCAGCAAGCCCAGCCCGUGAGCUUCAGUCCUUUGGGCCACCGAAUUCAGCACAAGACCAGCAAGCCCAGUUCAGCUAGCGCAGUUAGUUCAGUCCAGAAAUUCAGCAGGUCCAGCCCAUUCCAGUGCAAGAACAAAUCUCAAUUGGGCUGAGAUUUGUUGGGCCCAAGUCCAAAGCCCGGUCCAAGUCUGCCGGUGUCGUCGAAAGUCCGAUUUCGGCCACCGUCGCGUUGCCGUCGCGGUGAUUUGAUCCCCGCUUUUGUCAAGUGAGUUUUACUCACUAAUGCUUUAUUAGUUUGCUAAUUAUGCCUUAGGGUUGGUUAGAUUUAAUUACAUGCACUUAGGUGGUUAGAUUAGGUUAGAACAAUUAAUUUAGUGACUUAAUGAUGCAUGUUAGGUGGUUAGACCUAGCUAUUAGCAAGUAGAAAUGUUUGGUUAUUUAUUGAAUGCAUAUCGGGAUUUUUCCCGACCCGUUUCGGGCUCCAAUAAGGCAAUAUGGGCCUAAAUUGGAUUUUUAAUGUUUAUUUAUGUAUUUUCGAAAUUUAUUUAUUUAAUUAAUUAUUUUUCCGGAAAUUCAACCGGGAUGGCCGGUGACUGGAAUUUCGUGCCGAUUGUCGUGGUGCAGUCCGUUUAUUUAAUUGAGCUUCAAUUUUUAUGGAAUUGAUUUAAAUUGUGAAAUUUGAGGAAUUGUCCCAAAUUGUUUGUUAUUGAGUAUUUGAUUGGUAAUGGCCGAGCAUGAGUAUAUAGCGCCAGUACGUUGAUGGGCUAUAUAGUAGGGAGAAUGGUGAGACCAAUCAGGUACGAUAUUAUUGGACAUAUGUGGUUCGGUGAUUGGAAGUAUCACUGGCGAAAACGGCGCCUUAAAGAACGCACGUAAAUGACUUAUAGACAAACGUGGUUCGGUGGUUAUGGGAAUAUCACUGGUGAAAACGGUGCCUUAAAGAACGCACGAUGUUGUCUAUAGCCGAUGUCACCUUGGCGAAAACGGCGCCCUUGAAAGGACACGUGGUUCGGUGAUCAAGGUUAUCACUGGUGAAAACGGCGCCUUAAAGAACACACGGUGUCGGUGAUCGGUAUGUCAUUGGCGAAAACGACGCCCGAGAAACACAUGUGAUUUGGAGAAUGAGUACACCACUGAGAGAUCAUGGUAUGAGUGGGAAUGACCUAGAGAUGGUCUGACUGACAUGUAAUCGACUAAGUCGAUUGAUCAAUGCUUGAUCGGAUGUCGUGAAUUGUUUGAAUAUCUGUGUUUAACCUUGAAUUGCAGGUUGGAACUGAGGCUAAGGUAAGUCCUCUGACUCGUGUCGUGCUUAGGCAACCGUAUGGUGUAUUAGUUUACUAAUCGAGUCGUAGGGGGUAGGACUUGCUGAGAUGUGGUCUCAUUGAUUAUUGAAUAACCAUUUCAGGACCCUGAGGAGAAUCUAAGGAAGAGGAACCUGAAGAGGAGAAAGACUUUUGAAGAAGAAGAAGAUCCAGAGAGGGAUCUUGAAUAUAACCCGGAUGUGGACUGAGAUCCCAUCCCUUUUGUAAACCCUAUCUUAGUAUAGAUAGGUGUGAGACAAGUAUGUUGUGAAUAGUAUUGUAAAUAUACUAUGAGUUGUGCUGUUAAUGAAAGUGUGGUUGUGAAUUUCAAUAUGAAAAAUAUGGCCUGCUUUCCUAUCCCAUUGUUUUAUUGUUUGGGGAUUUAUAACUGCUUUCGCAUGUGCUUAAUAAAAAGAAAGGGUCGGCGAUACAUAGUCCUGGG
rnacentral:lncRNA from 1 species